rnacentral:rRNA from 1 species
UACGGAGGAGGCAAGCGUUAUCCGGAAUUAUUGGGCGUAAAGCGUCCGUAGGUGGCUAGUCAAGUCUGCGGUCAAAGACUGGGGCUUAACCCUGGAAAGGCCGUGGAAACUGACGAGCUAGAGUGCAGUAGGGGUAGAGGGAAUUCCCGGUGUAGCGGUGAAAUGCGUAGAGCUCGGGAAGAACAUCGGUGGCGAAAGCGCUCUACUGGACUGCAACUGACACUCAGGGACGAAAGCUAGGGGAGCGAACAGG